UAUUAACUCUGGCGGCGUGCCUAAUACAUGCCAGUCGAGCGAACGGACGAGAAGCUUGCUUCUCUGAUGUUAGCGGCGGACGGGUGAGUAACACGUGGAUAACCUACCUAUAAGACUGGGAUAACUUCGGGAAACCGGAGCUAAUACCGGAUAAUAUUUUGAACCGCAUGGUUCAAAAGUGAAAGACGGUCUUGCUGUCACUUAUAGAUGGAUCCGCGCUGCAUUAGCUAGUUGGUAAGGUAACGGCUUACCAAGGCAACGAUGCAUAGCCGACCUGAGAGGGUGAUCGGCCACACUGGAACUGAGACACGGUCCAGACUCCUACGGGAGGCAGCAGUAGGGAAUCUUCCGCAAUGGGCGAAAGCCUGACGGAGCAACGCCGCGUGAGUGAUGAAGGUCUUCGGAUCGUAAAACUCUGUUAUUAGGGAAGAACAUAUGUGUAAGUAACUGUGCACAUCUUGACGGUACCUAAUCAGAAAGCCACGGCUAACUACGUG
rnacentral:rRNA from 1 species